rnacentral:tRNA from 1 species
GGUUUCGUGGCGUAAUGGCAACGCACUGGCUUCCGGUUUUGUUUCGUGAAUAUGCCAGGGAUUGUGGGUUCGAGUCCCAUCGGAAUCG